CUCACUCUCUCUCUCCCUCUCUUUUAAAAAGCUUUUUUUCACUUCCCUGGGGGAAACAUCUUAGCAAUUCCUGAACGCAGCUCUGAAGAUGAAGGGCGACUUAGAAACAAUGGAAUGAAGGCGGUCCCCUCCCAUCACCCCCCCUCAGCCGGGGAGGAGCGAUGCACAGUCUGUGAUCACCUUCCUUCGUUCAGCCCACCAUGUGCCUGAGCCUUCUCUGAGUUCCCAGAAGGUGGUCGGGAACAAGCUCCCUCCACUAGGCCUGGCAGCCUCCUGGGGAAGGACAGACAGUCAACAAGAAAGCAAACAAACGCAGCAACGGCAGAGAAAGCUUCGUGCUGCUCAGAGUUUGGCUUGUCUACCUGAAGGUCAGAGAAGGCUUCUCUGAGCAGCUGACCUUGAGCUGAAAACUGGACGAGAAGCCAGCUCUGCAAAGACGGCAGGGAAGUGCAUUCAGACGGAGGAACACCAAGCACAGAAACCUUGAAGUGGGAAGGAACCAGCCAGUCAGUCCUGAUUAAUGUGUCAUGUGACCCUGGGCACCUGCU
rnacentral:lncRNA from 10 species